UACGGAGGGUGCAAGCGUUAAUCGGCAUUACUGGGCGUAAAGCGUGCGUAGGCGGCUAUUUAAGUCGGGUGUGAAAGCCCCGGGCUCAACCUGGGAGGUGCAUCCGAUACUGGGUAGCUAGAGUGUAGUAGAGGGAGGUGGAAUUUCCGGUGUAGCGGUGAAAUGCGUAGAGAUCGGAAGGAACACCAGUGGCGAAGGCAGCCCCCUGGGUCGAUACUGACGCUCAUGCACGAAAGCGUGGGGAGCAAACAGG
rnacentral:rRNA from 1 species